GUUGCAAUGCAGUGCUCCAGGAGUGCCUGAGCACAGGGCCUUUUUUCUAACGCGGAAGCCUUCCGGAGAGUUGCUGAAGCUCAAAUAGAACAAAGAGAGAUUUGCAGUUUCCACUGUAUGCCCAGUGCCAAGCCCAGGACCCGGGUCACAGCAGGGCCUAGCAAAGUGUUUGCUGGGUGUAAUGGGCUGAACUUUGUGUUCCCUCAAAUUCAUACAUUGAAGUUCUAACCCUCAGUACCUCAGAAUGUGACUGCUUUUGGAGCCAGAGUCUUUAAAGAGGUGAUUUGGGUGAAAUAAGGUCACUGGGGUGGGCCUUAAUCCAAUAUGACUGGGGUCUUUAUAAAAAGAGGAGAUCGGACACAGAAACAUAGAAGACUGUGUGCAGACAGAAGAGACGCAGCCAUCAGAAGACAAGGAGAGAGGCCUCAGAAGAAACCCACCCUGCUGACCCCUUGACCUCAGACUUCUCACUUCCAGAACUGUGAGAAAAUACAUUUCUGUUGUUGAGGCCACCCAGUCUGUGGUCCUCUGUCCUGGCAGUCCUGGCAGACUGCUAGACUGUGUGAAUAUCGAGUGACCAUGUUGGGGUCCUAGCACAAGGCCUGGCACAGAGCUGGUGUGUGGCGAAAUCUCUGACAUCCAGAAACCACCCUCUGAGUAUGGAGAGCCACACUGGUCGUUUGUUUAUCUUCCAGGAAUGAGUGGAUAGGCUCACUCACGAGUGCCUUCUUGCAGUUCUUCCUGCUUUAACACCUUCCCAAUCAUUAACCUCAGGAAGGGGAGUCCCUCUAUGCGGCACAAAGGUGGGGGCCAGGGCAUGAACAAUAAUACACCAAGAGUGCCCAACUGUGGAAUAAUUCCUAGACCUGUGUCGCAGGCAGGAAGGAGACUGUCAGGCCUCUGAGCCCAAGCUGAGCCAUCGUAGCCCCUG
rnacentral:lncRNA from 10 species